rnacentral:tRNA from 1 species
UUAGCUGAAACCAAAAUAGAGGUAAACCACUGUUAAUGGUUUUAUUGAAACAUAAAUUCCAGUUAAA